GGCUGAAAUAAGAGGGGUGGGCUUUCGUGAAGGUCGAAGAAGUAGUUCCCAUCUUGAUUCAAAAACCUUGUUCAUUUUUUAGGACAACCAAAAAAACAUUUUUUAUUCCAAUUUGAGUGUUGAAUUUUAUAAAUUUUUAACAAAAAUAAAUAUUUUUGAUAACUGACCUUCGGGAAAAGAAAAAAAUGUGAAGAUCUAUAUUAUGC
rnacentral:lncRNA from 1 species